ACCCCAUUGACCGGAGGGGGUUCCUUCCAGUCAAUGAGGUGCAAAGACCUUAUUGACAGGAAGGAAUCCCUUCCAGUCAAUGGAGGU
rnacentral:miRNA from 1 species